rnacentral:lncRNA from 1 species
GAUGCAACAGUGAUUGAGACCUAAACUCAAUGCAACAGUGGUUGACAUUGACUGUCUAUUCAUGUAUCUUGCUUGCCUUUUUUCUUUUCUUUUCAUCUGGAUCAUCAUCAAGCAUCAUCAUCAUGAAUAGAGUCUUGAGUUGGUGCAUUUAGGACUUAUGCAAAGAUUAAAACUUGGUUAUCAAUCAAGAGAGAGAGACGGAUAUUGAUAUAAUUCUCUUUUAAUUCAUUUGAAACCAGUCUAGGAGGAUAUAGGCUCAAGUUAGAACGGUAAAGGGUCUUGAACCUGAAUUGUGUUUGACAAACUUGUCUAAGCUAUUAGAGACUAGGCAAGUCUGUCAAAUAUUCAUCCUGUCCAAAAAAAAACAAAUAAUGAAAACAGAAGCAUAAUAAGACCGAAUGCUUUUGGCAAAAGGAGGUUACAAUCAUUUUUGGAAGUCAGAUUUGAUAUCGAGUAACUAAAGGCAAAGUUCAAAUGAGAAUUUCUCAAAUUUCAUGCCACCUCAAGCCAUUUGAUUUAACAUCCAUGACUAAAGUUGGUUGUGACCUUCACGUAUUAUGCCAAAGAUAAAUGGUUUCAUAAUAUGCUAUCCCAAUAUAAGCCAUCCAAAAAUCCCAUAUGCAGCAUAAUUCAAGCAAGUUGGAGUGGACUCACCCAAAUUCGUAAAUAUUAUUUGGACAAUAUAAAGUUUGUUCUCGGCUUUCGAGGCGGGCUUACCUCUAUGAUUGAAUCCUAGAUUUUAUUUGCAGACUGAUAGCUUCUCCUUAAGUUUCUGACAGAUACAAGUAGUGAGCACUCAUUGACAUUCUAAUGGAAGUGCAGAGGCUGCACCCACAGAAUUCUUC